UCAACUGCGGUGGAGGAGCAGAUGAUUCUCCUUCUGACUAAUCACUAGAAGGUUAGCAGUUGCCUCAUGCUGCGUCACAACGCCUACGUCACUCACCUUACUUUAUCGCAUCAUGUAGGUAUUUUAUCAUCUCAUAUCAUCGCAAGAAGAAGGGAAAUGGACUUCCGUGGCCUGAUCUAAGAUGGUGUCUAGAGCUCUAGUCUCUAUAUCUGCCUUCCAGCCAACUGCAAGGAGAAAAGGGAAGGAGUUGGAGGCACCUCUGAGAGCAGAGAAGUUUUCCAGCCCACUCUCCAAAGAAGGAAGCAGUCCAACAAUGCUGAUCUAAGCCAACUGCCCAUAUCCUUUAGGGAUAGGCAUGACGAGUGAGCCACCACAAGACAAAGUGACCCAGAGAGUGUGCUUCCUGACCAUAAUGAAAGCACCAAGGUUAAAGAUGAUGACUAACUACAGUCAAAUCACCUUCCAAGUUCUACUUUGCUUAAUUAAUUCUUUCCUUUGCUCUCCGACAUAUAGUAGACCCUUAAAGGAACAUUUUAAACCUACACAGCCAGUUGCCUCCUUCAAGCCAGCGAAAGCGUAAUCCAGAAAGAAAACAAAGAAGUCAACUCUGCUCUGCCAGUGAGAUGUUUCUGGAAACCACCAUUUUCUGUAUCUGUUCCUUGAGAACUGGGGACAACACCAGUGACGGUCCUUGGCCUUGAGUUAAUUACUUGGGGGGAAUAUGCAACAAGAGACCAUGGAUCCCCACUUUUAAGGUCACCCUGACAUGUGGAGGUCUUCCAGCAUUCCAGAACCUGACUCAUUCCAGCACAUUGCUUUGUUAUGAUGUCAGCUGUCAGUGGGCCAGGUGACAGGAGCUGAGCCACCUCUGAGCCCGCCAAGCCUGAGGACACAGAAGCAGAUGUGUAUUCUAAAUUUACCCCUCUUCCUUCCAGUUCACAUUCCCACCUGGACACUCAGGCAACCCCUAUCCAUCCCUCUUCCCUUAUUCAUUCAUUCAUUUAUUCAUUUACCAAUUCAUGUAAUAAACAUCUUUAAUCAGCCACUGUGUGCCAGGCACUGGGGUAAAGG